rnacentral:rRNA from 1 species
GACGAACGCUGGCGGCGUGCUUAACACAUGCAAGUCGAACGGAAAGGCCCUGCUUGCAGGGUACUCGAGUGGCGAACGGGUGAGUAACACGUGGGUGAUCUGCCCUGCACUUCGGGAUAAGCCUGGGAAACUGGGUCUAAUACCAGAUAGGAGCCAUUUUUAGUGUGAUGGUUGGAAAGUUUUUUCGGUGUAGGAUGAGCUCGCGGCCUAUCAGCUUGUUGGUGGGGUAAUGGCCUACCAAGGCGGCGACGGGUAGCCGGCCUGAGAGGGUGGACGGCCACAUUGGGACUGAGAUACGGCCCAGACUCCUACGGGAGGCAGCAGUGGGGAAUAUUGCACAAUGGGCGCAAGCCUGAUGCAGCGACGCCGCGUGGGGGAUGACGGCCUUCGGGUUGUAAACUCCUUUCGCUAGGGACGAAGCUUUUUGUGACGGUACCUAGAUAAGAAGCACCGGCUAACUACGUG